rnacentral:rRNA from 1 species
GAUGAACGCUGGCGGCGUGCCUAACACAUGCAAGUCGAGCGAUUCUCUUCGGAGAAGAGCGGCGGACGGGUGAGUAACGCGUGGGUAACCUGCCCUGUACACACGGAUAACAUACCGAAAGGUAUGCUAAUACGAGAUAAUAUGCUUUUAUCGCAUGGUAGAAGUAUCAAAGUUUUUGCGGUACAGGAUGGACCCGCGUCUGAUUAGCUAGUUGGUAAGGUAACGGCUUACCAAGGCGACGAUCAGUAGCCGACCUGAGAGGGUGAUCGGCCACAUUGGAACUGAGACACGGUCCAAACUCCUACGGGAGGCAGCAGUGGGGAAUAUUGCACAAUGGGCGAAAGCCUGAUGCAGCAACGCCGCGUGAGCGAUGAAGGCCUUCGGGUCGUAAAGCUCUGUCCUCAAGGAAGAUAAUGACGGUACUUGAGGAGGAAG